UCCUAAUCGCCACUUGCCUGUGAGAUGGGGUGAAGUUGAAAUCUACUUAGUAUUGUUUGUUCGGAUC
rnacentral:tRNA from 1 species